AAAUUGAAGAGUUUGAUCAUGGCUCAGAUUGAACGCUGGCGGCAGGCCUAACACAUGCAAGUCGAACGGUAACAGGAAGCAGCUUGCUGCUUUGCUGACGAGUGGCGGACGGGUGAGUAAUGUCUGGGAAACUGCCUGAUGGAGGGGGAUAACUACUGGAAACGGUGGCUAAUACCGCAUAACGUCGCAAGACCAAAGAGGGGGAUCUUCGGGCCUCUUGCCAUCAGAUGUGCCCAGAUGGGAUUAGCUAGUUGGUGAGGUAACGGCUCACCAAGGCGACGAUCCCUAGCUGGUCUGAGAGGAUGACCAGCCACACUGGAACUGAGACACGGUCCAGACUCCUACGGGAGGCAGCAGUGGGGAAUAUUGCACAAUGGGCGCAAGCCUGAUGCAGCCAUGCCGCGUGUAUGAAGAAGGCCUUAGGGUUGUAAAGUACUUUCAGCGGGGAGGAAGGUGUUGUGGUUAAUAACCGCAGCAAUUGACGUUACCCGCAGAAGAAGCACCGGCUAACUCCGUGCCAGCAGCCGCGGUAAUACGGAGGGUGCAAGCGUUAAUCGGAAUUACUGGGCGUAAAGCGCACGCAGGCGGUCUGUCAAGUCGGAUGUGAAAUCCCCGGGCUCAA
rnacentral:rRNA from 1 species